UAUGGCCAUAUCACAAUGAAACACUGGUUUUCAUACAAUCACCAAAGUUAAGCACGUUGAGCCCAGUCAGUACCUAGAUGGGUAACCACUUAGGAAUACCAGCUGCUGUAAG